rnacentral:rRNA from 1 species
CCCUUAGAUGUUCUGGGCCGCACACGUGCUACACUGAGUAAAUCAAUGGGUAAGGGAACACGAAAGUGCAACCUAAUCUUGAAAUUUGCUCGUGAUGGGGAUCGACGGUUGCAAUUUUCCGUCGUGAACGAGGAAUACCUUGUAGGCGCGUGUCAUCAUCACGCGCCGAAUACGUCCCUGCCCUUUGUACACACCGCCCGUCGCUCCUACCGAUUGAGUGAUCCGGUGAGGCUCUGGGACCUGGACGGAAAGAGCGUUUCGCUUGUUCUGUUUGGGAAACUUGGUCGAACCUUAUCAUUUAGAGGAAGGAGAAGUCGUAACA